GAGAGGUGGGUUAAGGCAAGGUUAGGUAAGGUAAAGCUUGUUAAGGUAAGGAGAGGUGGGUUAAGGCAAGGUUAGGUAAGGUAAAGCUUGUUAAGGUAAGGAGAGGUGGGUUAAGGCAAGGUUAGGUAAGGUAAAGCUUGUUAAGGUAAGGAGAGGUGGGUUAAGGCAAGGUUAGGUAAGGUAAAGCUUGUUAAGGUAAGGAGAGGUGGGUUAAGGCAAGGUUAGGUAAGGUAAAGCUUGUUAAGGUAAGGAGAGGUGGGUUAAGGCAAGGUUAGGUAAGGUAAAGCUUGUUAAGGUAAGGAGAGGUGGGUUACAGCAAGGUUAGGUAAGGUAAAGCUUGUUAAGGUAAGGAGAGGUGGGUUAAGGCAAGGUUAGGUAAGGUAAGGCCAUAGCUGGGUGUUAUCGCAAUACUUUAUCACUGAUAACAAAAUCUGGUUAUCGGCCAUCCACUACUUAUUUAAAUAUAUAUCGGUAUCUUCGUUACUUUUGUAACCAAACUAGCGAUAAUCGCUACUUUUUUCCGCCUCUCAGAAAAAAAAUGUUGUCUCCUCCCUACACGUGCCCGGGCGCCCGGUGUUGUGUGAAAAAACUUUGGGGUAUGAAAUGUCUUUGAUGAAGAGAUUUCAUAUUUAGAUCAUCAACAUUAAAACACUAGGUUAUGUUUUUUAUGUUACUCAAAAAUCAAUAUAUCAAAGAGAAAAAUCAUUUAACUUUGCCCCAAAAGUGAUUAUUCACUGCCUCAAAUUUGAUAUUCCAUAUUCGUUUGUGAGCAUGUCAUGGUACUGAAGGCACCCGGUGUUGUGUUAUUUGGUGUCCCAUCGUCAAAAGC